UCGGAGCUGCUUGGAAAUAUCAACAGAGCGAAGGCUUAACUCUUUGCAGUGUGGUGCGGGACGGGCCCCGGACCUCUAUGCACUGUGUGGGCUGUGGGUUCCCCUGUGCCCAAGGAAGGGCUGGCAGCAGGGCAGGGCAGCUGGGCACGGCUUCACGAAUGGCAGUGCCCACUCCAUCAGAGAGAAGGGGAAUGUGGCCACAGAGCAACGGAGGUGCCGCUGUGCUUCGCUGUCUCUCAUCCGGCUCCUGCAGGAUAUUUCUCAGUGCAACCUGCAGAAGAGGACCUGUCUCCACAGCUGACUCAGCUGCUGAAUUCAUAGUCCAGAGAUGGUGUUCCCCUGCACUGGUCAUUAGGGGAGAGACAGCCUGUCUGCAUGUAUCCCUGACAACCUCAAGAAACAGAGAUUUGCAUCUGUGGGAAAAAGACUGAAAGGAGCUGAUGUUUCUGCAUGAUCCCCCGGGGGACUCAGAGGAUCAGUGUGUGACACAGUGCCUGUGCCAUGGGCAACACGAGUCCAGCAGGUCUGAGAGCCGCAGAGCAGCAGCCGUAGCAGUGAUAUCUCCCAGAUCCCAGCCUGGGCUGCGGUGGCAGGUGAGUCUGGGCUCUGCCUCCUGCCAUCUCACCUUUGUGCAGGGGAUCCAUUCUGCCUGGUGCACUGGACAGGAGAGCCAGCCAGCCGGCCAGCCCAGUGCCCAAGAAGCAGCCUGCAGCCUGCACCACCUGCACCCUGCCGUUUUGCUUGUGUAAUCCAGCUACUGUGGGUGUUGAUGUCACUUGGUGGUGGUGUCAGCAGCUCCUGAAUUCAGGAAGCCAGACUCACCACAGGGCUUAGAGUUGGAUGUAAUGCCAAGUAAAAGGGUCCUGUAGACAUUUUACAACUGUCCAUGUAGGUGAUUUUUUCCCAGAGCUGAUGCCCUGCCAUGUCUCUGCACAUCAUUCUCUCCAGGAGCAUGAGCAUGGUUUGUCUUUCACUUCUCUCUAAUGCCCUACAGCUCCAUGGGGAGACUGAGGGGGCAGGUCAUCCUGUUAACGGGUCCCAGUGAUGGAAACCCUGACCAAUGCAGCCAACUGAAGUUAGGGCAGAUCGGAACCUCCUCCUCUGCGACUGCCCCAGCAGAGUUCCAGCUGUGCUCCUAGACGUGACCUUAUGGAACCUGCAAACAAAUGACUGUCUACUGCACGCCUGAGAGUAACAGAAGGAGUUCUGCAGGUCUCAUAUGGCAAUAGAAUAUUCCUGUCCAUGAUCUGGGACAGACAGUUCUUUUCUGAGUGUGAGCUAGCAAAGCAGCAGUGUCUCUGUCACUGUGAAGCAGAGGUGGCCUCUGGGGAAUAACUCAGAAUGAUCCUAGCUUGGUCUUAGCUGAGGGCUUGGCCCAGAGCUUAGGAUUUUUUCAGAUGGGAGCUGUGAGCAUGGAUGGUCCCAGUCCCACGCAGCCCACUCCUUCCCUUCUGCCUGCCUUAAAUCGGCUGAUCUGCCAUUGCUAGUCAUUGUGGCUGGUCUUUCACCUCUCUGUGUCCUCAGAGAGUCCGAGGGCAAGAAUUCAGAGUGGAGAUGUCAUGAGCUCUUCCCAGUUCUGACAGCUUGAAUUCAAGCUGUGAACUAUUUAUCACAAUGCUACAAACAUCCAAGCAAGGUCUCUUAAUUUAUGAAGGUCCGGUAGAUGUUUUGCAAUUGACAACACGAACACAAAAAUACUUCUGCACUUUACUAACGCUACUAUGAAGCUGUCUGAUGUUUUCAUCAUAAUAUUUACUUCUUUGCAAAUGCUCUAAAUUCUCCAAUCCCAAUUCAAAACAGAAAGAUCAGAGAAUGAAAAUAGGGACAUGACAUAGCUGUUUAAAGAUUAUGUAAAAUGUUUUCCACUAGCGUAAAUAUUUGAUUGUAAAACUCUGCCUGUUGUGCUUUCAGAGCAGGGUGUGCAGUGAGUGCAGGGAGUGGUUCUGUCCCACAUCUCGGGGCCACGGUGGGACAGAGGUGGUGGGGAGCAAAAGGCCCAAAGCCCAGUUUGCCCAGGGAGUUGACCAGACAGGUGGCACUGGGACGGGAUCAUGCUGUUGUGAGCUGUGAACAUGCUGUCAGGUUGAGCAGUGCAUCGCUGGAGCUCAAGGUGCAGGGGGGUGCUUGGCGCAGCUGCCUCAAGCUCUGGAGGCUUGCUGGCUAGGUGGAAAUGGGGUGGGAGCAAAGCAAUGGCAAAGGCAAUGUCAGCUCUGGAGCUCCGAGCUGACUGCCUCUGCUGACCUCCAAGUGCUGAGUGGCUGCAGAGUGAUGCUGGGCAGCACAUGGGUGUCUGCAGGGGCUGCACAAGCCCUGUUAGCCCAUGGGAUAGGCUCUGUGGCCGGGUGUAGCAGAAACCAUCUGACUUUAGACCUAAGGAAAAGGUCCAGCAGAGUGGCCCAGUGCUGUUCCCUCUGCACUGGGACUCUGAGCAAGUCACAGUCUCUUUUUUGUUUCCUUAUCUCUAAACAGUGGAUAAUGAGGCUAACUCCUCCACAAAGCACUUGGAAAUCUCCCACCAGAAGGGUAAGAUAAAGGCUGUAUUGUUAUAAGUCCCGAAGCAGCUCUAAAUCUUGAGGUUUCACUACAAAGCAGCCUGCCCAGCCCUACCUCUGCUGCAGCGAUGCAGGGCAGUGACAGCGAAUUGAGCAUUUCCAUCUACAUCCCCUCCUCCUGCCCACCAAGCUCUGCGGUCCAGCCCUAAGUGAGAAGUGUGCUUUGAGGCAGGGACUGUGUCAGGCUCUGCCCAGCGGUGCAAAGCUGGGUCCGGGGUAGUAGUGAGCAGAGCUAAAGCCCCUGAUAUACAUCGGAUGGGUUGGGAGCAUUAUGUAUUUCUGGAAUGCCUUCUGGUCUUUAUUAAAAUGAAACCACAGCCAGCCCAAGAGAGCUCAUCGCCCAGGCACGGGGCCAAGUAUAAGUUACUUCUACAAAUAUUUAUUUAACCAUAUCAAUGACAAACUCUUUUGUAUAAAUGUUUUUAUUUAAUCAUAAUUUACCAAUUAUUUUAAAUCAAUUGUUUGCCUGGUUUCUAAACACUAAUCAAGAGGCUUGCAUUAGCAUUACUCAGGCGGAUUAGAUGCAUUAUUUCUCUGAAGCUUGUGCCAUUGCUUGCCUGCCUUGGCCAAGGAAGAGGGUGCAGAUGGAUCCCAAAUUUCACUUUGAUUGUCAGAUUCCUGGAGGACCCCAUUGGCAGCACUGCCAGCUGUCCCCACCCAGGUGACCUCUGGGCUCAGAGGCAUUUCUCAGCCACAGGGGCUCAUGGAUGUUGAUCCCACCUGAGCUGCUCAGGAUGAGAUUCCUUUGGCUUCCCCGGGGCCUUGCUCUCGCAGAGCUGCCAGCCCUGUCACAGAUGCCGCCAGCUCCUUGUUCUGCUGCUGCUCACCUCUCAUGCCUAAGCCUGGACCUGUCACACUGUAGAAGUUUCUCAGUGCCCCUUCAGCCCAGGGUCUCUGGCAAGAAUUUAUGAGCGUGCACGAGGCUGUUCAGGGCAGAACAGGAGCCCAUGGAUGCACGUGUUUGCCUGUGGUGUCCAGCCUCACUCCCAGCCCUCUGGGCUCCCUCACCAUCUAAAGAACAUCCCAGAAGGUCCUGUCUUCUUUUACCCCAGCUCUCUUACAUAAGUCCUGUCCACUCCUCUGUGCUCAGGUGAUGCCUACAAACAGAGAAUCUGUGACUUCUGCAGGGCCCUGCCUCCUCCAGAGCCCUUUGAGAUGUGGCGAGGCACAGUGUGAGCACAGCAGAGCCGCUGGGCACCAGGUGCUGCUGUGCUCCAUGCAGAGAACUGUGUCCCUUGCAGCGGCCAGACCGGCAUUGCUGAGCAGCCCGUGAUGAGAGCAGGGCGCUGCGAGCUGCUCCUCUUGUUUAUUUACAGGAUUUCAGGCUGCUACUGUCUUGCACCUUGGCUCGCCUGCUGCAAGCACAGGCUCUGCAGGGAGCUCUGUGCACAAGCAGGCGGCUGCUCAGUGUCUGCUGCUGGGACAGGGCUGGCCUCAGGGGAGUUUCCCACCUCCCCCCCAAAAAACUCCUCCCCAUUUGAUCCUCCACCUGGAAGACACCUCAGGGUCUCUUUGACAUGAGAUUUCAAAAAAAUUUCUUCCAAGAUAAUCAAACCCAAAUAAACACAAACUGGGGCAGGCUUGAGGUAAUCCUUAGAUUUACCGACUGCUUUAAAGAUUAUGAAAAUAGAAAGCAAUGCUAGGUAGACCCUUUGAAGACUUAAGUAUGGUGCUUUUUUUCUUCUGGGUGAUGAGGAAUAGAUCCACUGCUUGAUACACAGCAGCACAGCACUUCAGAACACUUAGCUGCAUGGCCUUGCAGCCAUAUCACUGCAGUAAGAAAGCACGAAAAUGAUGGUAACAGGGAGCUUCCUACUGUUGACACAUAAACAAAGGGAAAGUUAUUUGGACAGGGCUCUGAAAUACUGUGUAAACACAGACCUAAUGCAAUAACGCAGAUGCAGAGCGAACCCUUGGAAAGAAAAUAAUUACUUACAUGAUGCUAAAAAGCAUUUUCAUGCCUCUUUUGAGGGAAAAUGAACCAUGAGGAGGUCUGUGUCCUUGUUUUUAACAAUAUCCUAUUUUCUACAAAUCUGCUUUUAGAAAUGAAUGUUUUCACUUCUUCCUUGAAAGUUCUGUAGGCAGUUUUGGAGCUUCCCA